rnacentral:rRNA from 1 species
UACGAACCGUACAAACGUUAUUCGGAAUUACUGGGCUUAAAGGGUGCGUAGGCGGCCAUGUAAGUGAGGUGUGAAAUCCCUCGGCUCAACCGAGGAACUGCGCUUCAUACUGCAUGGCUUGAGUGAGACAGGGGUAAGCGGAACUGAUGGUGGAGCGGUGAAAUGCGUUGAUAUCAUCAGGAACACCGGUGGCGAAGGCGGCUUACUGGGUCGCUUCUGACGCUGAGGUACGAAAGCUAGGGUAGCGAACGGG